rnacentral:rRNA from 1 species
UAUGUGAUCGUCUCUCGCAUAUCAAUAAGCGGAGGAAAAGAAACUAACAAGGAUUCCCCUAGUAACGGCGAGUGAAGCGGGAAGAGCUCAAAUUUGAAAUCUUAAAGGGUUUCCCUUUACGAAUUGUAGUUUAAAGAAGUGUUUUCUGUUGAGGUUUUGGUAAAAGUUCUUUGGAAUAGGACAUCAUAGAGGGUGAGAAUCCCGUAUUUGACCUUUACUUUCAACUUUGUGAUACACUUUCAAAGAGUCGGAUUGUUUGGGAAUGCAGUCCAAAAUGGGUGGUAAAUUUCAUCUAAAGCUAAAUAUUGGCGAGAGACCGAUAGCGAACAAGUACCGUGAGGGAAAGAUGAAAAGAACUUUGAAAAGAGAGUUAAACAGUACGUGAAAUUGUCAAAAGGGAAGCGUUUGACACCAGUGUUGUUUUUCUGAAAAUCAAUUAAAGAACUGUUUAUGCUAAGCUGUUUAGACUUUAUCAGCUAACUGUUUAGUUUUGAGCUUUUCUUUAAUGCACUUUUCAGUUAACGAAGUCAACAUCAAUUUCUUUUGCUGUAAAAAAGCUUGAGGAAGGUGGCUUGAGAUUCGUCUUAAGUGUUUAUAGCCUCUUGCCUAUGCAGUCGGAGAGAUUGAGGUCUGCAGCGUAGAUCCCCGGGGCUAAAUGCAUUUGUGCUAAGUUAUAGCAUUUUAUAGACAACUUGUUGACUAUGAUUUGUCUUGUAGCUUACUCGCUUAUGUUAUUUUACCUACGCUUAGGAUGUUGAUCUACAGAGCGAGAGU